UUAGCAUUCAUACGAGAAAGACUAACAAGGAUUCCCCUAGUAACUGCGAGUGAAGCGGGAAAAGCUCAAAUUUAAAAUCUGGCGGCAUCCGUCGUCCGAGUUGUAAUUUAGAGAAGCGUUUUCCGCGCCGGACCGUGUACAAGUCUCCUGGAACGGAGCGUCAUAGAGGGUGAGAAUCCCGUCUUUGACACGGACGCCCGGUGCUCUGUGAUACGCUCUCGAAGAGUCGAGUUGUUUGGGAAUGCAGCUCAAAAUGGGUGGUGAACUCCAUCUAAAGCUAAAUAUUGGCGAGAGACCGAUAGCGAACAAGUACCGUGAGGGAAAGAUGAAAAGCACUUUGGAAAGAGAGUGAAACAGUACGUGAAAUUGCUGAAAGGGAAACGCUUGAAGUCAGUCGCGUCUGCCGGAAUUCAGCCUUGUGGUGUAUUUUCCGGUCGACGGGCCAGCAUCACUUUUGACCGCCGGAAAAGGGCGGAGGGAAUGUGGCACCUUCGGGUGUGUUAUAGCCCUCCGUCGAAUACGGUGUUCGGGAGUGAGGACCGCCUUUUGCAGGAUGCUGGCGUAAUGGCUUUAAACGACCCGUCUUGAAACACGGACCAAGGAGUCUAACAUGCCCGCGAGUGUUCGGGUGGAAAACCCGUGCGCGUAAUGAAAGUGAAAGUUGGGAAGGCUGUCGCGGCCUGCACCGACGCCCGGACUUGAGAUUUAUCGACGGUUCUGCGGUAGAGCGUGUAUGUUGGGACCCGAAAGAUGGUGAACUAUGCCUGAAUAGGGUGAAGCCAGAGGAAACUCUGGUGGAGGCUCGUAGCGAUUCUGACGUGCAAAUCGAUCGUCAAAUUUGGGUAUAGGGGCGAAAGACUAAUCGAACCAU
rnacentral:rRNA from 1 species